UGGGGAAUCUUCCGCAAUGGACGAAAGUCUGACGGAGCAACGCCGCGUGAGUGAAGAAGGUUUUCGGAUCGUAAAACUCUGUCUUUUGGGGCGAACGUGAGUAUGGUGAACAAUCAUAGUCAGUGACGGUACCAAAGGAGGAAGCCACGGCUAACUACGUGCCAGCAGCCGCGGUAAUACGUAGGUGGCAAGCGUUGUCCGGAAUUAUUGGGCGUAAAGAGCGCGUAGGCGGGAUAGUCAGUCUGUUGUAAAGUGCGGGGCUCAACCCCGUGAUCGCAAUGGAAACAGCUAUUCUUGAGUGCAGGAGAAGAAGUGGAAUUCCCAGUGUAGCGGUGAAAUGCGUAGAUAUUGGGAGGAACACCAGUGGCGAAGGCGACUUUCUGGACUGUGUCUGACGCUGAGGCGCGAAAGCCAGGGGAGCGAACGGGAUUAGAUACCCCGGUAGUCCUGGCCGUAAACGAUGGGUACUAGGUGUGGGAGGUAUCGACCCCUUCCGUGCCGGAGUUAACGCAAUAAGUACCCCGCCUGGGGAGUACGGUCGCAAGACUGAAACUCAAAGGAAUUGACGGGGUCAUAGCUGUUUCCU
rnacentral:rRNA from 1 species